rnacentral:rRNA from 1 species
GACGGAGGGUGCUAGCGUUGUUCGGAAUCACUGGGCGUAAAGGGCGCGUAGGCGGCCUGGAAAGUCAGAUGUGAAAGCCCGGGGCUCAACCCCGGAAUUGCAUUUGAGACUCCCUGGCUGGAGGUCGAGAGAGGAGAGUGGAAUACCAAGUGUAGAGGUGAAAUUCGUAGAUAUUGGGUGGCACACCAGUGGCGAAAGCGGCUCUCUGGCUCGAAUCUGACGCUGAGGCGCGAAAGCGUGGGGAGCAAACAGG